AAAAGAGAGAAAACCGCCGAUGGCCCGCGCAAGCGGGAUCAGGUAAGGGUGAAAGGGUGCGGUAAGAGCGCACCGCGCGGCUGGUAACAGUCCGCGGCACGGUAAACUCCACCCGGAGCAAGGCCAAAUAGGGGUUCAUAAGGUACGGCCCGUACUGAACCCGGGUAGGCUGCUUGAGCCAGUGAGCGAUUGCUGGCCUAGAUGAAUGACUGUCCACGACAGAACCCGGCUUAUCGGUCAGUUUCACCU
rnacentral:RNase_P_RNA from 1 species